rnacentral:misc_RNA from 1 species
AGAUUCACUUUCAUGUCCCAUUGCUACACGGAUAUACUGAGCCUCUUCCUUAAUCAAAUUAUCAGCUUCUUUCAGCUCGUCUUCUUCAAAAUCUUCUAUCACAGGAACAGAGACAGCAGCUCGCUUGACACCUUUCUUUUUCUCCUUACUCAGCUUCUCAUCUAGUGGAUAUUUUGCAUUAUCAUGAUCAAGUAAGGCUAGAAGCUCCUUCCGGAUCAUUUCAUCAGCAAGUUCAGUCAACGUAGGAGGAACAAAGGAACUCUUAUCUUCAUCAGCUCUCAGCAAAGAAUUUCUAAUUAGUUCCAAUGAAGCAGCAGGAGGCCUAGGGAGUUCCCUCUGCAGUACUUUUGAUCUCUUCCUAAGCAACGCCUGCUGUCUUGCUUCUUCCACAGCCUUUUCUCUAGCUAUCCUAUCAGACAUAUCUUCUUCAAUCUUUUCUUCUGGUUCUUCUUGAUCUUCUGGAGGUGGUUGAAUAACUAUUUGAUAUUCAUUCUUGGGCUGUGGAAGAUUACUAAGACCAGACCGCAAGUU